UCUGAACUAAACAGUGAUUGCUGAAUAAUUUUUUUUUCUGUCACAGGCGUGGUUAGAAUUGGAGUUGCUGCAUGAGACGUUAAGUAAGAUCAGCAGUGAGAGAGCCGACGUCACAGGCUGAGCCCGGCUGAAGGAAUGCCAACAUCAAGAAAUUCCUGGUCACCCUGGGGAGCGUCAUCACAGCUUUGGCUGACCUCAGCGUGGGUGGACUGUUGACAAAGAAGAAGAAGAAGCAGACCUUCAUUCCAUACAGAGACUCUAUGCUGACACGGCUACUUAAAGAGAGCCUGGGUGGAAACUCUAUGACCACUAUAAUCCAUUUCUCCUGCUGAUGUGAACCACGAUGAGACCCUGAGCACUUUGCGCUAUGCCAGUCGAGCUAGAAACAUAGUGAACUCUCCCACAGCGAAUGAAGACAGCAGUGUGAAGGUUAUCAGAGAGCUGCAGGCAGAGGUAGCCAGGCUCCAAAGGCUGCUGGAAGACGCCAAUCAGGUCUCCCGUGGGGAGCUGUCUUCCUCUGUGCUAGAAGAGGAGCUGCAUCAGAAUGAGGCAAAGGUUCUUGUACUGACCAAGGAAUGGACCAGCAAGUGGAAUGAGACUCAGAGUAUCCUGCAGAUGGAGACUCUGAGGAAACAGGGGAGGGGAGUGGGUCUGGACUGUCAGCAACCUCAACUAAUCGGCAUUGAAAAAGAUCUGCUCAGCACUGGCAUCAUCCUCUAUUAUUUGAAAGCAUAUGCAACAUUUGCACUUAAUAUAAUUCACAUAUUUACCUCCAACAAGGAGGUUUUGUUUUCAUCUGCAUUUGUUUGCUAGUAGGAUAACACAAAAAACAAUGUUUUUGUGUUUGAGGGGUGAUGCAAGGAGGAACCGUUUAAUAUUUGCUGUGACUCAGGAUCAAGUGGCGGAUCCAUGAUCAUUUUUUUCGUUGUCUUUAUCAUUGCGAAAUUCUGCGUUUUAGAAUAAUUGAUCUUUGUAAAAUGUUUAGGGGAGUGAUAUU